GAUGAACGCUGGCGGCGUGCCUAAUACAUGCAAGUCGAGCGAACGGACGAGAAGCUUGCUUCUCUGAUGUUAGCGGCGGACGGGUGAGUAACACGUGGAUAACCUACCUAUAAGACUGGGAUAACUUCGGGAAACCGGAGCUAAUACCGGAUAAUAUUUUGAACCGCAUGGUUCAAAAGUGAAAGACGGUCUUGCUGUCACUUAUAGAUGGAUCCGCGCUGCAUUAGCUAGUUGGUAAGGUAACGGCUUACCAAGGCAACGAUGCAUAGCCGACCUGAGAGGGUGAUCGGCCACACUGGAACUGAGACACGGUCCAGACUCCUACGGGAGGCAGCAGUAGGGAAUCUUCCGCAAUGGGCGAAAGCCUGACGGAGCAACGCCGCGUGAGUGAUGAAGGUCUUCGGAUCGUAAAACUCUGUUAUUAGGGAAGAACAUAUGUGUAAGUAACUGUGCACAUCUUGACGGUACCUAAUCAGAAAGCCACGGCUAACUACGUGCCAGCAGCCGCGGUAAUACGUAGGUGGCAAGCGUUAUCCGGAAUUAUUGGGCGUAAAGCGCGCGUAGGCGGUUUUUUAAGUCUGAUGUGAAAGCCCACGGCUCAACCGUGGAGGGUCAUUGGAAACUGGAAAACUUGAGUGCAGAAGAGGAAAGUGGAAUUCCAUGUGUAGCGGUGAAAUGCGCAGAGAUAUGGAGGAACACCAGUGGCGAAGGCGACUUUCUGGUCUGUAACUGACGCUGAUGUGCGAAAGCGUGGGGAUCAAACAGGAUUAGAUACCCUGGUAGUCCACGCCGUAAACGAUGAGUGCUAAGUGUUAGGGGGUUUCCGCCCCUUAGUGCUGCAGCUAACGCAUUAAGCACUCCGCCUGGGGAGUACGACCGCAAGGUUGAAACUCAAAGGAAUUGACGGGGACCCGCACAAGCGGUGGAGCAUGUGGUUUAAUUCGAAGCAACGCGAAGAACCUUACCAAAUCUUGACAUCCUUUGACAACUCUAGAGAUAGAGCCUUCCCCUUCGGGGGACAAAGUGACAGGUGGUGCAUGGUUGUCGUCAGCUCGUGUCGUGAGAUGUUGGGUUAAGUCCCGCAACGAGCGCAACCCUUAAGCUUAGUUGCCAUCAUUAAGUUGGGCACUCUAAGUUGACUGCCGGUGACAAACCGGAGGAAGGUGGGGAUGACGUCAAAUCAUCAUGCCCCUUAUGAUUUGGGCUACACACGUGCUACAAUGGACAAUACAAAGGGCAGCGAAACCGCGAGGUCAAGCAAAUCCCAUAAAGUUGUUCUCAGUUCGGAUUGUAGUCUGCAACUCGACUACAUGAAGCUGGAAUCGCUAGUAAUCGUAGAUCAGCAUGCUACGGUGAGUACGUUCCCGGGUCU
rnacentral:rRNA from 1 species